rnacentral:rRNA from 1 species
AGAGUUUGAUCCUGGCUCAGAUUGAACGCUGGCGGCAUGCCUUACACAUGCAAGUCGAACGGCAGCACGGGAGCUUGCUCCUGGUGGCGAGUGGCGAACGGGUGAGUAAUAUAUCGGAACGUACCCUAGAGUGGGGGAUAACGCAGCGAAAGUUGCGCUAAUACCGCAUACGAUCUACGGAUGAAAGUGGGGGAUCGCAAGACCUCAUGCUCAUGGAGCGGCCGAUAUCUGAUUAGCUAGUUGGUGGGGUAAAGGCCUACCAAGGCAUCGAUCAGUAGCUGGUCUGAGAGGACGACCAGCCACACUGGAACUGAGACACGGUCCAGACGCCUACGGGAGGCAGCAGUGGGGAAUUUUGGACAAUGGGGGCAACCCUGAUCCAGCAAUGCCGCGUGAGUGAAGAAGGCCUUCGGGUUGUAAAGCUCUUUUGUCAGGGAAGAAACGGUGAGGGCUAAUAUCCUUUGCUAAUGACGGUACCUGAAGAAUAAGCACCGGCUAACUACGUGCCAGCAGCCGCGGUAAUACGUAGGGUGCAAGCGUUAAUCGGAAUUACUGGGCGUAAAGCGUGCGCAGGCGGUUAUGUAAGUCAGAUGUGAAAUCCCCGGGCUCAACCUGGGAAUGGCAUUUGAGACUGCAUGGCUAGAGUGUGUCAGAGGGGGGUAGAAUUCCACGUGUAGCAGUGAAAUGCGUAGAGAUGUGGAGGAAUACCGAUGGCGAAGGCAGCCCCCUGGGAUAACACUGACGCUCAUGCACGAAAGCGUGGGGAGCAAACAGGAUUAGAUACCCUGGUAGUCCACGCC